rnacentral:rRNA from 1 species
CCUACGUGAGGCAGCAGUGAGGAAUAUUGGUCCAUGGGCGAGCGCCUGAACCAGCCAAGUCGCGUGAAGGAAGAAGGCUUUCGGGUUGUAAACUUCUUUUCUCAGGGACGAAGCAAGUGACGGUACCUGAGGAAUAAGCCACGGCUAACUACGUGCCAGCAGCCGCGGUAAUACGUAGGUGGCAAGCGUUAUCCGGAUUUACUGGGUGUAAAGGGCGUGUAGGCGGGACUGCAAGUCAGAUGUGAAAACCAUGGGCUCAACCUGUGGCCUGCAUUUGAAACUGUAGUUCUUGAGUACUGGAGAGGCAGACGGAAUUCCUAGUGUAGCGGUGAAAUGCGGAGAUAUUAGGAGGAACACCAGUGGCGAAGGGGGUCCGAUGGACAGCAACUGACGCUGAGGCGCGAAAGCGUGGGGAGCAAACAGGAUUAGAUACCCCAGUAGUC